GACGAACGCUGGCGGCGUGCUUAACACAUGCAAGUCGUACGGUAAGGCCCUUUCGGGGGUACACGAGUGGCGAACGGGUGCGUAACACGUGAGUAACCUGCCCACAACUUUGGGAUAACGCUAGGAAACUGGUGCUAAUACUGGAUAUGUGCUCCUGCUGCAUGGUGGGGGUUGGAAAGCUCCGGCGGUUGUGGAUGGACUCGCGGCCUAUCAGCUUGUUGGUGGGGUAGUGGCCUACCAAGGCGGCGACGGGUAGCCGGCCUGAGAGGGUGACCGGCCACAUUGGGACUGAGAGACGGCCCAGACUCCUACGGGAGGCAGCAGUGGGGAAUAUUGCACAAUGGGCGCAAGCCGGAUGCAGCAACGCCGCGUGCGGGAUGACGGCCUUCGGGUUGUAAACCGCUUUCAGCAGGGACGAAGCUUUUUGUGACGGUACCUGCAGAAGAAGCACCGGCUAACUACGUG
rnacentral:rRNA from 1 species